GACAAAAGUUCUGCCAGAGGAAGACGCCAUUCCUUCCAUCCGUUACCACCUUCGCACUGAAAUGCUGUAGACGUGGAAGAAGACUGUGGCGACUUCACACAUCACCACUUCCUGUAAAAGAAAUACCACUAGAACAAUUCCAUCAUCUGCCGGAAGAAAUAGGCCUCCACUUGGUCACGUUCAUCGGUUUUUUUUUUGUAACACUCGUGUGCUUGGAAAUGGAUAAACCAUAUCAGGUCCUGCAUCAGCAUCUCAUUGCUGCAACAGAUGUUGGAACAGCUGGUUUACACGGAGUACUCUGCACACGUAUUAUUAAACUCCUAACAAUAUAGUUUAGAGCUUAAAAUGAAUCUUUAACUUGUGUACUAUACUGAGAGGAGAAACCUCAUAAGAGGGCCAGGAAAACCGGGCCUCCCUUCAGCUGGA